rnacentral:rRNA from 1 species
UCAGUCGACUCCUACGGGGAGGCAGCAGUGGGGGAAUAUUGCACAAUGGGCGCAAGCCUGAUGCAGCCAUGCCGCGUGUGUGAAGAAGGCCUUCGGGUUGUAAAGCACUUUCAGUCGUGAGGAAGGUAGUGUAGUUAAUAGCUGCAUUAUUUGACGUUAGCGACAGAAGAAGCACCGGCUAACUCCGUGCCAGCAGCCGCGGUAAUACGGAGGGUGCGAGCGUUAAUCGGAAUUACUGGGCGUAAAGCGCAUGCAGGUGGUUUGUUAAGUCAGAUGUGAAAGCCCGGGGCUCAACCUCGGAAUUGCAUUUGAAACUGGCAGACUAGAGUACUGUAGAGGGGGGUAGGAAUUUCAGGUGUAGCGGUGAAAUGCGUAGAGAUCUGAAGGAAUACCGGUGGCGAAGGCGGCCCCCUGGACAGAUACUGACACUCAGAUGCGAAAGCGUGGGGAGCAAACAGGAUUAGAUACCCUGGUAG